rnacentral:rRNA from 1 species
CCUGCCCAGAAGUAGGGGAUAACACCUGGAAACAGAUGCUAAUACCGUAUAACAGAGAAAACCGCAUGGUUUUCUUUUAAAAGAUGGCUCUGCUAUCACUUCUGGAUGGACCCGCGGCGUAUUAGCUAGUUGGUGAGGUAAAGGCUCACCAAGGCAGUGAUACGUAGCCGACCUGAGAGGGUAAUCGGCCACAUUGGGACUGAGACACGGCCCAGACUCCUACGGGAGGCAGCAGUAGGGAAUCUUCCACAAUGGACGCAAGUCUGAUGGAGCAACGCCGCGUGAGUGAAGAAGGGUUUCGGCUCGUAAAGCUCUGUUGUUAAAGAAGAACGUGGGUAAGAGUAACUGUUUACCCAGUGACGGUAUUUAACCAGAAAGCCACGGCUAACUACGUGCCAGCAGCCGCGGUAAUACGUAGGUGGCAAGCGUUAUCCGGAUUUAUUGGGCGUAAAGCGAGCGCAGGCGGUCUUUUAAGUCUAAUGUGAAAGCCUUCGGCUCAACCGAAGAAGUGCAUUGGAAACUGGGAGACUUGAGUGCAGAAGAGGACAGUGGAACUCCAUGUGUAGCGGUGAAAUGCGUAGAUAUAUGGAAGAACACCAGUGGCGAAGGCGGCUGUCUGGUCUGCAACUGACGCUGAGGCUCGAAAGCAUGGGUAGCGAACAGGAUUAGAUACCCUGGUAGUCCAUGCCGUAAACGAUGAUUACUAAGUGUUGGAGGGUUUCCGCCCUUCAGUGCUGCAGCUAACGCAUUAAGUAAUCCGCCUGGGGAGUACGACCGCAAGGUUGAAACUCAAAAGAAUUGACGGGGGCCCGCACAAGCGGUGGAGCAUGUGGUUUAAUUCGAAGCUACGCGAAGAACCUUACCAGGUCUUGACAUCUUCUGACAGUCUAAGAGAUUAGAGGUUCCCUUCGGGGACAGAAUGACAGGUGGUGCAUGGUUGUCGUCAGCUCGUGUCGUGAGAUGUUGGGUUAAGUCCCGCAACGAGCGCAACCCUUAUUACUAGUUGCCAGCAUUAAGUUGGGCACUCUAGUGAGACUGCCGGUGACAAACCGGAGGAAGGUGGGGACGACGUCAAAUCAUCAUGCCCCUUAUGACCUGGGCUACACACGUGCUACAAUGGAUGGUACAACGAGUCGCGAGACCGCGAGGUUAAGCUAAUCUCUUAAAACCAUUCUCAGUUCGGACUGUAGGCUGCAACUCGCCUACACGAAGUCGGAAUCGCUAGUAAUCGCGGAUCAGCAUGCCGCGGUGAAUACGUUCCCGGGCCUUGUACACACCGCCCGUCACACCAUGAGAGUUUGUAACACCCAAAGCCGGU